AGUGAACGCUGGCGGUAGGCCUAACACAUGCAAGUCGAACGGCAGCACAGUAAUAGCUUGCUCUUACGGGUGGCGAGUGGCGGACGAGUGCGGAAUACAUCGGAAUCUACUUUUUCGUGGGGGAUAACGUAGGGAAACUUACGCUAAUACCGCAUACGACCUACGGGUGAAAGCAUGGGAUCUUCGGACCUUGCGCGAUUGAAUGAGCCGAUGUCGGAUUAGCUAGUUGGCGGGGUAAAGGCCCACCAAGGCGACGAUCCGUAGCUGGUCUGAGAGGAUGAUCAGUCACACUGGAACUGAGACACGGUCCAGACUCCUACGGGAGGCAGCAGUGGGGAAUAUUGGACAAUGGGCGAAAGCCUGAUCCAGCCAUGCCGCGUGGGUGAAGAAGGUCUUCGGGUUGUAAAGCACUUUUGUUGGGGAAGAAAAGCAGCAGGUUAAUACCCCGCUGUUCUGACGUUACCAACAGAAUAAGCACCGGCUAACUUCGUG
rnacentral:rRNA from 1 species